UACAGAGGGUGCGAGCGUUAAUCGGAUUUACUGGGCGUAAAGCGUGCGUAGGUGGUCUUUUUAAGUCGGAUGUGAAAUCCCUGAGCUUAACUUAGGAAUUGCAUUCGAUACUGGGAGGCUAGAGUAUGGGAGAGGAUGGCAGAAUUCCAGGUGUAGCGGUGAUAUGCGUAGAGAUCUGGAGGAAUACCGAUGGCGAAGGCAGCCAUCUGGCCUAAUACUGACGCUGAGGUACGAAAGCAUGGGGAGCAAACAGG
rnacentral:rRNA from 1 species